CAGUCGCCGCGGGAAAACGAAGGGGGCUAGCGUUGCUCGGAAUGACUGGGCGUGAAGGGCGCGUAGGCGGCUUGCACAGUCAGAUGUGAAAUUCCUGGGCUUAACCUGGGGGCUGCAUUUGAUACGUGUGGGCUAGAGUGUGAAAGAGGGUCGUGGAAUUCCCAGUGUAGAGGUGAAAUUCGUAGAUAUUGGGAAGAACACCGGUGGCGAAGGCGGCGACCUGGUUCAUGACUGACGCUGAGGCGCGAAAGCGUGGGGAGCAAACAGGAUUAGAUACCCCCGUAGUCCCUGUCUCUUAUAC
rnacentral:rRNA from 1 species